CACCAUAGUGAAUACGAAAUUUUUCUUAAUCACUAUCAGAACAGCUCUGACACAGUAACUUAAAUUUGUACAGCCGGCGUUUGGUUCCAUCCAACUUUUAACAAUGUAUUUACGAUCGAAUUCCUUUUUUUUAUGUUCGAUAUGUAUUUUUAUGCUGUUGUCAGUUCGUCCACUGCAUGGCAACGAUAAAUUAGAAACACGAUUGGAUGCUUUAGAAAAAAAGGUGAAUUCAUUGGAAACCGAACUAAGAGGAGAGGCGAAAAUUAUCACAGACUUUCUAACUGAAUUGUUCUCAGAAUACUAUAGCUUAAUACCUGAAGAGUUAAGAGACAAGAUUAAAAGUAAAUUUAACAUCACGAAAACUGAAGAAUAAAUACAUAGGUUUUUGGUGUUUGAAGAGCUACGCAUUUACGAACAAGUCACUUUACCAAGAAAAUAGCGACAAAAUAAGUAGAAAAUUUUUUUACAUCACACAACCAAUUACCAUCUGUUCUGUAACAAAUCAAUAGAAAGGGAGAGGAAAUCAUUUUUUUUUUAAAUUGUGUUUCGAUUACAAAUUCCUCUAAAAUUUAAAAAUUCAAGAAGUAAAAACUAGAAAACUAAUUUAAUCAUUUUUCGUUGGCUAGUUUAUUUGCUUUUCUUUUCUUUUUUUUUGUUCUUCGCAUACUUUUUUGAGUUGUCCUCAGUCAAAUACAAGGAUAAGUACUUAGUUCGUACCGAGAAUUCAGAAAUACGAAUUGGAGAGUCUAACAAAAUGUCAUUUCAAUUUUAACCGCACCUAAUCAGUACAAAACAAAUUCAAAUUGUUUCAUUUUUUGCAAUGCAUCAAAUUUUUGACAUUUUUUGUAAAGAUCUCAAAAGUCGAACAACAAGAAAGUUCGAGAAACCUAAUUUAGUAAUUUUAUAUGCUUAAAAUAUUAUGGAAUUAUUCACUCAUAAUGUACAUAUUUCUAGCACAAAAAAAAGUCAAGUAUUAUGUGUACAUCAAUUAUACUCAUUGUACUUUUUUCAUAAAAUAAAUUUCAUUUUCGUAAUUUUUA